rnacentral:misc_RNA from 1 species
AUUUUAUUAGCAUAGAAGAGUCAAUCGAUUAGUUGCAUUACAAGAUUUUAAUUCCAUCUUCAGCCCCUCUUCCAAAUGACAUGUAAAAUCAGAACAGGGAAAGAUAUUGUUCACAAACACAACUAAAGUUGGUAAAGUUAAGAAAAGAUUAUUUUUCAGUAAAAUAAAAUAAAAAUAGAGAGAAGAUAUAUAGAUGAAAUUGAGGACAAUUUAUAAAGGAUCAUCACUUAUCCAUCUUUUGAACAUAACAAAACAUUCUUCAGGCUUGUCCAUACAAGCUGUGUGUCCUGCUCCCUUCACUGUUGCAUAAGUCAUUUUGUUGGAGUAAGAUCUCGUAUAGCCAGCAACUUGAUUGUUUACGUUCCAUUGGCGCCAAUCAUCAUCAAUAGAGUAGUUUAGAGACUUUAUCCAUGUUUGUGUAUCUUGAAAAGGUACCAUAUAAUCAUGAUCUCCACUGUAUAUAAGUGAUCGAUAGCCUUUAGUGCUUAAAUUUGCAUGAUAUGGUACAACAUUAUGUACCGUCAAAGUGUAGUUAUGAUGAGAGCCUUCACUUAUAUCUCUUCUACAUUUUAUCCAACUUUCUAUAAUCCCCUUCCUAACAUGAAGAGCUUCUUGGACUUGAGGGUCAUUAGCCCAAUACCUCAAAUGCUUGCGCCAAUCAGAAUCACACUUAUCUUCACGUUGCAAGGAGAUGAGUUUAUCACCAAGUAAUCUUCUUUCACUAGUCAUUUGAUACACGUCUUUAGGAUCAUCAUCAUUUGUGCAAAAGGGCUUUAAUACGUGUUCCACAUUAAUGUUUUUUACAAGCUGUUUGAAAUUUCGAAAGUCAUUUGCACAUCCUGUAUUUUUGGGAUUAAUGUUUGUGUAUUCUCCUCUACAAUUCUUCUCUAAUGACUUAUAAAGUUCAUCAGAUAUGAGUCCCAUGCCAUGGCAAAAAACUAUAUGGUACUUUUCAUCUUGAGGACUAAUUGUUACAGCAUUGCCAAUUAAAUAUCCCUGAAGAUUAACUAAUGGCUCUUUGCCUGCUAUAUUUCCAUUUGAUAUCAACUGAGUUAUAAUUGGAAUAAUCAUGCCAGAAUAUGAAUUUCCAGAAACAUAAAAUGGAUUUGAGAUGAAUUGUGGAUGAUCAUUGAGCCACUUUCUUAAGAAUUCAUAGACAUAUUCACAUGCUUGCACAUCAGUAUACUUAUAUGCAGCUGAGUUUGUUGCAUAUGAGAAUCCAGUGUUUACUGGUUGAUCCAAAAAUAUUACAUUUGCUAUUUUUGUCCAUGCAUGUGGAUUUAGUUCAAACGAUGGCAUACUCCCAUUGUAGACUUGUUCCACAAAACGGAUUGGUCCUAUCUCAUCAACAAUGGCAAUGACAGAAGAGCAACCUGGUCCACCAGAUAGCCAAACCAAAAGAGGAUCAGUAGUAGGCUCUGAUUCUGACUCCAAAAAAUAGUAGAAAAGUUGCACCGCCUCAUCUUUACCAACUCCAACAUACCCGGUCUCUAGAGGAAACGGGAGGCGGCCCUGCCAACCGGGAAGAUACUCAACAGUAGAAUGCGAAACAGCUUGUUGUUGUUGAAGAAGAAGAAGAAGAA